UACGUAGGGUGCAAGCGUUGUCCGGAAUUAUUGGGCGUAAAGAGCUCGUAGGCGGUUUGUCGCGUCUGCUGUGAAAACCCGAGGCUCAACCUCGGGCCUGCAGUGGGUACGGGCAGGCUGGAGUUCGGUAGGGGAGACUGGAAUUCCUGGUGUAGCGGUGAAAUGCGCAGAUAUCAGGAGGAACACCGAUGGCGAAGGCAGCCCCCUGGGCCAAUACUGACGCUCAUGCACGAAAGCGUGGGGGAGCAAACAGG
rnacentral:rRNA from 1 species